GAACGCUGGCGGUAGGCCUAACACAUGCAAGUCGACCGGCAGCACAGUAAGAGCUUGCUCUUACGGGUGGCGAGUGGCGGACGGGUGAGGAAUACAUCGGAAUCUACUUUUUCGUGGGGGAUAACGUAGGGAAACUUACGCUAAUACCGCAUACGACCUACGGGUGAAAGCAGGGGAUCUUCGGACCUUGCGCGAUUGAAUGAGCCGAUGUCGGAUUAGCUAGUUGGCGGGGUAAAGGCCCACCAAGGCGACGAUCCGUAGCUGGUCUGAGAGGAUGAUCAGCCACACUGGAACUGAGACACGGUCCAGACUCCUACGGGAGGCAGCAGUGGGGAAUAUUGGACAAUGGGCGCAAGCCUGAUCCAGCCAUACCGCGUGGGUGAAGAAGGCCUUCGGGUUGUAAAGCCCUUUUGUUGGGAAAGAAAAGCAGCAGGUUAAUACCCCGCUGUUCUGACGGUACCCAAAGAAUAAGCACCGGCUAACUUCGUG
rnacentral:rRNA from 1 species